rnacentral:rRNA from 1 species
GACAGAGGGUGCAAACGUUGCUCGGAAUCACUGGGCGUAAAGGGCGUGUAGGCGGGAAGGAAAGUCAGAUGUGAAAUCCCCAGGCUCAACCUGGGAACUGCAUUUGAAACUCCCUUUCUUGAGUACCGGAGAGGAAAGUGGAAUUCCUGGUGUAGAGGUGAAAUUCGUAGAUAUCAGGAGGAACACCAGUGGCAAAGGCGGCUUUCUGGACGGUAACUGACGCUGAGACGCGAAAGCGUGGGGAGCAAACAGG